UAGCCUUCGGCCUCCUGCAGGGCUC
rnacentral:piRNA from 1 species